UGUCGUAUUGAUAGCAUAGAGGACACACCUGUUCCCAUUCCGAACACAGAAGUUAAGCUCUAUCACGCCGAAAGUAGUUGCCGGAUCGCUGGCUGCGAGGAUAGGAAGAUGCGGUGC
rfam:Leuconostoc gelidum JB7, complete genome.